GCCAAAUAUUUGGGACACCUGAAAUAUUUACUAUCAGGGGCCCACAAAAGAAAAUGUGUGCCUGUUCUUCUAACUGACCAGAAGGUCAUUGAACCAACCCUAACCCUGGCUGGACAAGGCUUAUGUGCUGAAUGACUGUGAGUAAACUUCUGACACUCAAAGAGAAAAACCUGAGACUCCUACCAGGACUUUAUAAACUUAUAGACUUCAUCCUUGUCAUAUUAAAAUUCUGCCUGACUGGGAAAAAAGGAACAGUAGGAAUAAUGUCCAGUUUUAAGGAGUUUAUACGUUUAAGAACUAUAAAACAGGCCUUCAAGAAUAAUUAUUCUAUACUUCUGAAGAUGUGAAUUUGAACACUGAACCUCUUUAUUGCAUGAUUAGAGAAAUUUUUUACUGAGUUACUACGCUGAUCUGCCAGAUUUCCUUAUUAUGGUCAAACAAGAAAGACAAAUAUUUUUUUUUUCUAGCUGCAGAUAUUUUUCAUUCUUCUGCUGACGACAGUCAAAUGGAUAUGAAAUAAGCCAGGUAAAAUGUAGAACACUUGUAUUUUUAAGGUGUCUUUCCAAGGCAUUUUCUCCCAUUUGAAUUAAAUCAUUUUUUAACCUUUU